CUAUAGUGUCCCUUUAAAAUAAGCGAGGAGGAGUUCCAAUAAUUAUAUGAUGCAACAGAGUCAGAGGUAUAAAGAAAGUAAAGUGUUCCUGUGGAAUAUAUUACCAGUCCUUCACAGGCAGCAAGACCCAUAUCGCAAUUGGUGGUUUAACCUGGAUGAUAUCCUUAUGGAGGCUGAUAAUUUAAAAAACUUGUGCUUGUAUUCAGAUACUUUUGUAGCAGAUGGAUCCAUUAAAUUCCAGACUCCCAGCCUCAGUGAAGGUUUCUUAGAGCAAGCAGUACGCUUUUAGUGAACACUGUAGUCAAUUUUCUGAAACUCUGUUGCUAUUAGCCUUAUCACCAC